AAAAGUAUAAGUUUGAAAUAUAUGCUAGCUCAAGUGAUCAUCCUCAAUAAGAAGAUAAAGACGGGGUAUACUUAUAUAAGAAGGCCGAGCCCACCGGCACUUAACACCAUCACAACAGCACAAGGUUAGAACCUGAAAAACAACAGGGAAUAAAACCCUGAGUAUGGAAUUACUCAGCAAGUCUUACCCGACUAAGGAAAAGACUCUCAAGGGUAUGCUGGAUAAAUAGGAAUCAAGGAGAGGCUUUAGCAAGAAUCAAUUUAGAUACUUUUGCAGAAAUAGCUUACUAAAGUGAGUCCUUACUUUCAAUCUUUUAACGCCAUAUUAAGUAUUAAUAGACUCUAUUUGCAUCUAGUCUAAUUUCAACAUCUCAUCAAUACAACAUCAUUUUUAUCCAUAGUGUUCACAUCCUGACUUUAGGUUGUAGAAAAGUGACCAAGUCUUCAUAACCGCGAAGGUACGGCGAUCCGAAUCGAUUAUACUCAGCUGAGGAUCUCCAAUCACACGACAUAUGUAGCACUUAACCCUUGCAUAUGUCAACCCGCCACCGGGGUUCUUAAGACCAGAUCAGGUUCACGCAAACCGAGAGCACAGAUACACCACCGUCCAGCCUCUUGCCACGGAGGGUACACGCUACUCUCGCCACCGCUCCACGCCCAUUUCGUGUUAUCUUAUUCUGGCCUUAGUCUGCCCGAGGCAAGGCUUACCCAUGACGAGGCAUGUGACCAGUUAAAGGGUCCUCGGUCAGCAUGCCUACAUACGCAUUAAUCCUUAACCAACCUGGGUAGAACAUCACCUGUUCCUAACCCAAGUCUCAAUUUAAGUAUUUCCAUCCUUAGGAUUGUGUCUGUUCCUUAGGAUGAAAGAGCAUCACAGGGAACUUUGCAGUAAGAUCCCACUAUUGCUCCAAAUGAAAAUAUUCUUGCAGGUAGAAGCCAUCCUCUCCCGGGUUAGACUGAGGACAACCUCUAUCCACAAGAUCUAAGCAAGGCUAAGCAUUUUUGUAAAUCAUAUUUUGAUACUUCACAGAAGUAUCUAUAAAGGCAUGGAUAUCAAGGAAAGCAAUGCAUCAAAGGGUUCCAAGCAACUCCUAUUAACCUAAUGCACAUUUCACUAGACUUAAGUGUGCGAAAAGUAUUUAAAACACAAGGAAAGGGGUUGCAUGCACCGGGGCUUGCCUGAGUAACACUAGGUUAGUGUUGGUUAGGUGACGUCCGCUUGAUGAGUAUUCUUCGACCGAGCACUUGCUUGAUUUAACCAUCUUCAGGUUGAUUCAUCAGCUUCAGCUUGAAGAUUAGCCCACGCUUGGGGUCGACUUGGUUUUUCUUCCGCAUCACACGAUUAUUUAUCGUCCUGAAUGAAAUGCAUUAUGCAUAUGAAUGCAUAUAAAGAACAAUAACACUAGAUAUUAUGAUGCUACGCAAAAGAGAAAUAACCUAUUUAAUGAUGAAACAUUACGUACACUAGUUAUCGAUAUAUUGUUACUUACGACAAUCAUGUUCUUACAACCUAGCUAAACAGUCGAGGUAGCAAUCAACAUCCAUUCCAAGCAUGAGAUCGACCAACACAUAAAUUAUCAGACCUAGUCUAGAGAACACACUAAACGACUUAUAACUUUUAACUUCACAAUUUUUGGACAUCUAAUACUUAUAAAAUUUGAUAGAAGAAUUUUUAUUAACUUUCUAAACUAAUUCACCGGUUAACCCGUAUAUUAUAUAUAUAUCUACCAAUAUACUUAUCGCAUAACCCUAAAAUUCAACUUAAUCUCUACAGCGAGUAAUAAACAAGAGAAUCAUCACAAUCAAUCCUUCUAUUUAAUCCUACCAUUUAUUUAGUUGACGGGAAUAAUAAAUUAACUUACCAUAAUUAACUCGAGCUGAAGUUGUGAGGUCAACGACGAUCCUAUGGACGAGGACUCGGAUUUGAAGGGCGAUGCGGCAAAAUUAUUGGAACGGCGGAGUCGAUGACGCGAUGAGAAUUAAG
rnacentral:lncRNA from 1 species